UCGGGAGGCUCGCCGGGAUGGCAGCAAGGUGGCGGCGUUGGGGUGUGAAGCGACGGGCGGUGAACAUGAGAAGUCGGACAGGAGGAGGCGUUCUGCAGAGAUCUGGAAGGAGAGGAGGUCGGUGGGAGGAGAGCGAGCGGUGUCGUGGUGGUCUUGCUGCUGAGCGACAACAGGAGGACGACGAUAUGAGGCAGAGGAGGUCGUGCAGGAAGCUUCCAUGCGGAUUAGGGAGACACUGCU
rnacentral:lncRNA from 1 species